rnacentral:rRNA from 1 species
UACGUAGGGGGCAAGCGUUGUCCGGAAUCAUUGGGCGUAAAGAGCGUGUAGGCGGCUCGGUAAGUCCGCUCUGAAAUCCCUCGGCCCAACCGAGGAACUGCGCCCGAGACUGCUUCUCUUGAGUCCCGGAGAGGAAGGUGGAAUUCCCGGUGUAGCGGUGAAAUGUGUAGAGAUCGGGAGGAACACCGGUGGCGAAGGCGGCCUUCUGGACGGUGACUGACGCUGAGGCGCGAAAGCGUGGGGAGCAAACGGG